rnacentral:rRNA from 1 species
CCAAUAGCGUAUAUUAAAGUUGUUGCAGUUAAAAAGCUCGUAGUUGAAUUUCGGGAUCAGUACGCUGGUCGUGCCUUGUGUAUGUACUGGUGUUACUGGUUCCUACCUUCUGACGAACCGUCAUGUCAUUAAUUUGGUGUGGCGGGGAAUCAGGACUGUUACUUUGAAAAAAUUAGAGUGUUUAAAGCAGGCUCGCGCUUGAAUACAUUAGCAUGGAAUAAUGAAAUAGGACGUUUGAUCCUAUUUUGUUGGUUUCUAGGAUUGACGUAAUGAUUAAUAGGGAUAGUUGGGGGCAUUAGUAUUCAAUUGUCAGAGGUGAAAUUCUUGGAUUUAUUGAAGACUAACUACUGCGAAAGCAUUUGCCAAGGAUGUUUUCAUUAAUCAAGAACGAAAGUUAGGGGAUCGAAGACGAUCAGAUACCGUCGUAGUCUUAACCAUAAACUAUGCCGACUAGGGAUCGGAUGAUGUUAAUUUUUUAAUGACUCAUUCGGCGCCUUACG